UACGUAGGGAGCAAGCGUUGUUCGGAUUUACUGGGCGUAAAGGGCGCGUAGGCGGCGGGGUAAGUCGGGUGUGAAAUCUCAGAGCUCAACUCUGAAACUGCACUCGAUACUGCUCUGCUUGAGGACUGGAGAGGAGACUGGAAUUCACGGUGUAGCAGUGAAAUGCGUAGAUAUCGUGAGGAAGACCAGUGGCGAAGGCGGGUCUCUGGACAGUUCCUGACGCUGAGGCGCGAAGGCCAGGGGAGCAAACGGG
rnacentral:rRNA from 1 species